rnacentral:rRNA from 1 species
UACGUAGGGAGCAAGCGUUGUUCGGAUUUACUGGGCGUAAAGGGCGCGUAGGCGGUCGUGACAAGUCACUUGUGAAAUCUCCGGGCUUAACUCGGAACGGUCAAGUGAUACUGUCGGACUAGAGUACAGAAGGGGCAACUGGAAUUCUCGGUGUAGCGGUGAAAUGCGUAGAUAUCGAGAGGAACACCUGCGGCGAAGGCGGGUUGCUGGGCUGAUACUGACGCUGAGGCGCGAAAGCGUGGGGAGCAAACAGG